AGCGAACAGACGAGGAGCUUGCUCCUCUGACGUUAGCGGCGGACGGGUGAGUAACACGUGGAUAACCUGCCUAUAGGACUGGGAUAACUUCGGGAAACCGGAGCUAAUACCGGAUAAUAUAUUGAACCGCAUGGUUCAAUAGUGAAAGACGGUUUUGCUGUCACUUAUAGAUGGAUCCGCGCCGCAUUAGCUAGUUGGUAAGGUAACGGCUUACCAAGGCAACGAUGCGUAGCCGACCUGAGAGGGUGAUCGGCCACACUGGAACUGAGACACGGUCCAGACUCCUACGGGAGGCAGCAGUAGGGAAUCUUCCGCAAUGGGCGAAAGCCUGACGGAGCAACGCCGCGUGAGUGAUGAAGGUCUUCGGAUCGUAAAACUCUGUUAUUAGGGAAGAACAAAUGUGUAAGUAACUAUGCACGUCCUGACGGUACCUAAUCAGAAAGCCACGGCUAACUACGUGCCAGCAGCCGCGGUAAUACGUAGGUGGCAAGCGUUAUCCGGAAUUAUUGGGCGUAAAGCGCGCGUAGGCGGUUUUUUAAGUCUGAUGUGAAAGCCCACGGCUC
rnacentral:rRNA from 1 species